rnacentral:rRNA from 1 species
UUUUUAUUGAGAGUUUGAUCCUGGCUCAGGAUGAACGCUGGCGGCGUGCCUAACACAUGCAAGUCGAACGGAGUUAUGAUGUGAGCGG